CACGUAGGGGGCAAGCGUUGUCCGGAUUUAUUGGGCGUAAAGAGCUCGUAGGUGGUUCGGUAAGUCAGGUGUGAAACCUCCAGGCUCAACCUGGAGACGCCACUUGAUACUGCUGUGACUGGAGUCCGGUAGGGGAGCGUGGAAUUCCUGGUGUAGCGGUGAAAUGCGCAGAUAUCAGAAGGAACACCGAUGGCGAAGGCAGCUCGCUGGGACGGUACUGACGCUGAGGCGCGAAAGCGUGGGGAGCGAACAGG
rnacentral:rRNA from 1 species